rnacentral:rRNA from 1 species
AACGAACGCUGGCGGCAUGCCUAACACAUGCAAGUCGAACGAGACCUUCGGGUCUAGUGGCGCACGGGUGCGUAACGCGUGGGAACCUGCCCUUAGGUUCGGAAGAACUCCCCGAAAGGGGUGCUAAUACCGGAUAAUGUCUUCGGACCAAAGAUUUAUCGCCUUUGGAUGGGCCCGCGUUGGAUUAGCUAGUUGGUAGGGUAAAAGCCUACCAAGGCGACGAUCCAUAGCUGGUCUGAGAGGAUGAUCAGCCACACUGGGACUGAGACACGGCCCAGACUCCUACGGGAGGCAGCAGUGGGGAAUAUUGGACAAUGGGCGAAAGCCUGAUCCAGCAAUGCCGCGUGAGUGAUGAAGGCCUUAGGGUUGUAAAGCUCUUUUACCCGGGAUGAUAAUGACAGUACCGGGAGAAUAAGCUCCGGCUAACUCCGU